GAUGAACGCUGGCGGCGUGCCUAAUACAUGCAAGUCGAGCGAACAGAUGAGGAGCUUGCUCCUCUGACGUUAGCGGCGGACGGGUGAGUAACACGUGGAUAACCUACCUAUAAGACUUGGAUAACUUCGGGAAACCGGAGCUAAUACCGGAUAAUAUAUUGAACCGCAUGGUUCAAUAGUUAAAUACGGUUUUGCUGUCACUUAUAGAUGGAUCCGCGCCGCAUUAGCUAGUUGGUAAGGUAACGGCUUACCAAGGCAACGAUGCGUAGCCGACCUGAGAGGGUGAUCGGCCACACUGGAACUGAGACACGGUCCAGACUCCUACGGGAGGCAGCAGUAGGGAAUCUUCCGCAAUGGGCGAAAGCCUGACGGAGCAACGCCGCGUGAGUGAUGAAGGUCUUCGGAUCGUAAAACUCUGUUAUUAGGGAAGAACAAAUGUGUAAGUAACUAUGCACGUCUUGACGGUACCUAAUCAGAAAGCCACGGCUAACUACGUG
rnacentral:rRNA from 1 species